CCUAACCUUACUUGAUUCCCAUCUCUAUCCGAAGGUCGAAGAUCAAAGACUGAAGUGAAGGUCGAAGAUUGAAGAACUGAAGACCAAAGAACUCGGAGAUUGAAGAACUUAACGCAAAGAGGCUGCUUUGGUAGCUAUAGAACGAGAUCGAGGCCAAGCUCGCCAUUGGAAAGGUCACCAGUUAAACACACGAUCCGAUAAUUACUUUCUCCGGCUGUCGUUCUUGGAGAAGCACAAGACUGCCAUUCCAGGACUAAGCUCUUGCUAAAGGAAUAGGUGCAAAACUGUUUUUGUUGAUGUUUGCUGUCAUAAGGACAGAAUUAUCAACACUUAUGGCUCGGCUUUGGUUGUUUCUCUGAAUGGUCUCAUCUUUUGUGGUUAUACGUUUUGGCCAGCAGAUCCUUGACUGUGUUGGAAAGUUUUGUUCAGGAGAAAAGGAGGAGGGUGGAUUCUAUUUCUAGCCAUGCUCGGCUUUUGUGCAUCUCAUUUUCCCCCUCCUCUUUUUCACGUGAUUUUCUCCCAAUAAUCCGUUGAGAUGUGAUUUAAGUUUUGAUGAACAAUGUUCAGAAAUGAAUUGAUCGGUGUAAUUAUUUGAAUUA